UUGAUGUUCUAACGUUGGCCCCUAAUCGGGGUUGCGGACAGUGUCUGGUGGGUAGUUUGACUGGGGCGGUCUCCUCCUAAAGAGUAACGGAGGAGCACGAAGGUUGGCUAAUCCUGGUCGGACAUCAGGAGGUUAGUGCAAUGGCAUAAGCCAGCUUGACUGCGAGCGUGACGGCGCGAGCAGGUGCGAAAGCAGGUCAUAGUGAUCCGGUGGUUCUGAAUGGAAGGGCCAUCGCUCAACGGAUAAAAGGUACUCCGGGGAUAACAGGCUGAUACCGCCCAAGAGUUCAUAUCGACGGCGGUGUUUGGCACCUCGAUGUCGGCUCAUCACAUCCUGGGGCUGAAGUAGGUCCCAAGGGUAUGGCUGUUCGCCAUUUAAAGUGGUACGCGAGCUGGGUUUAGAACGUCGUGAGACAGUUCGGUCCCUAUCUGCCGUGGGCGCUGGAGAACUGAGGGGGGCUGCUCCUAGUACGAGAGGACCGGAGUGGACGCAUCACUGGUGUUCGGGUUGUCAUGCCAAUGGCACUGCCCGGUAGCUAAAUGCGGAAGAGAUAAGUGCUGAAAGCAUCUAAGCACGAAACUUGCCCCG
rnacentral:rRNA from 1 species